UGUUUGUGCAACUGCGCCCGCUUAGUAAAGUGCUUGCAAGGUCCAUUUUAGAAGUUAAAGAGCCAGAAGGAGGAGCAGUGGUAGUGUCAAAGGAAGCCUUGGGGCAAGAGUUUUGCCCCCCGCCAUUAACGACUAUCUAAUACACAAAACAGUUUUCUUAACAUGUUCUCAGGCACAGAGCCAGGCACUGUUAGGAAAAGCUUUCCGGAAGAAGUGAAAAAUCUGAGACCUGAUGGACAAGCAGGGAGAUUGGCCAGGUACCAGCAAGAGGGAACUGCAGAUGCCAGGACCCAUAAAAGGAAAGAGCUUGGUGAUUCCGGGGAGCAUAAAGUAGCUUAGAAAUAUAUCAUUAAACUGAGUGUGGGACUGGACUGAUAAAGGUUAUCUUAGCUUGAGCACAAGCAAACUUUCAAAAGACUUAGAAAAUGUGAAUUUUUUCCUUGGGGCAAUUGAAAAACAUUUAGCAAGGGAAUGAAAUAUGAAUCCAGAUUCCCUUCCCCAUAAGUUUUUAAUUAGUGAAAUUAA
ensembl:lncRNA